rnacentral:rRNA from 1 species
GGGAUCAGCCCAGCGCCAAGUCCUGACACUUGACGUGUUCAGGAGAUGCGGCGUUAGUGUUUUGGUGCAUCGUGUGCUGCCUCGUGUCUCAAGUUCCUUUGACAGGGACUCCCAGAGUGGGUGCUAGGCCCAUAGAGACUGCGAAGCUGGCACACGCAAACCAUUACAUUUUAGAGUCAGGUUGCUUGAGAGUGCAGCCUAAAGCAGGUGGUAAACUCCAUCUAAGGCUAAAUAUUACAGCGAGACCGAUAGCAAACAAGUACCGUGAGGGAAAGUUGCAAAGAACUUUGAAGAGAGAGUUCAAAAGGACGUGAAACCACUAACAGGUAAACGGGUGGAACCACGAAGUGUGCCUGAAGAGCGAUUCAGUUAUCAUUGUCCGGUUAGUGGCGCUUGCAUACGGGUACUUCACGUGCUGUGCAAGUGUUGCUUACAAUCGGCAAUGGCAAUGCAUUUCGUCUCUUCAGUGGCUAAAGCCACGUCCGAUUAGGUGGCUGGAACGGCCGUAGUGAGCUGUCUCGAGGAAGGUGGCCGUUAUAUGCUUCGGCGUUUAUCGGUGUUAUAGCCUCGGGGCCGUGCCGUUACCUAGCGUGCUGAUCGGUGCAAGUUCUCCAUACCUGGAGUAUUGCAAGUAAUGGGUCAGGGCGCUUGCUGAUGCCAAGGCGGCUGCGUUAGUUUGCGCUUUCGUUUCUUCGGGAAUGUAAAGACAGAUUAGCGUCGGCUGUCUCGGUGUUGUUUGCGUGUUCUGGCUUGUGCAAACAGUGGUGCGAGUAGGUCGGUCUCCACCCGACCCGUCUUGAAACACGGACCAAGGAGCCUACCAUAUACGCGAGUCGCUCGGUCUUGUUUAGGCCWGGGAGGCGCAAUGAAAGUAAAGCCACGAGGCUGUGCGCAUUCGUGCUAUCAGUCGCAGUGGCGGCCCGCCUGCUUCCUUUAUCGGGGAUAUGGCGGAGCUGGAGCGUAUACGGUGGUACCCGAAAGAUGGUGAACUAUGCCUGGGCAAGACGAAGCCAGAGGAAACUCUGGUGGAGGUCUGUAGCGAUUCUGACGUGCAAAUCGAUCGUCAGACCUGGGUAUAGGGGCGAAAGACUAAUCGAACCAUCUAGUAGCUGGUUCCCUCCGAAGUUUCCCUCAGGAUAGCAGGCGCUUGUUGUAAUCAGUUUCAUCCGGUAAAGCUAAUGAUUAGAGGUCUUGGGGCCGAAACGGCCUCAACCUAUUCUCAAACUUUAAAUGGGUGAGAUGUAUGACUUGCUUAAUUGAAGCCAUACAUUUGAAUGGAAGUGCCUAGUGGGCCAGCUUUGGUAAGCAGAACUGGCGCUGUGGGAUGAACCAAACGUCGAGUUAAGGCAUCAAAUGCGUACGCUCAUCAGAUCCCAGAAAAGGUGUUGGUUGCUAUAGACAGCAGGACGGUGGCCAUGGAAGUCGGAAUCC